ensembl:ncRNA F19D8.9 ncRNA
ACGAUGGAAAGUGGACAAGAGAUAAACACUGCUCAGGGAGAGAGAUGAGACGCAGGAACACCAACAAAUGAGACAUGGGGCUUGUUGACCCUUCGAGAAACGCACAGAGAAGGGUGGGGGGGGGGGGGUAGUACUAAAAGAACUAAACAGAAAGAAUGACGGGAAAGAUAGAAGAACAGCUCUGCUUUUUUUUCCAUCUUCUCUUCCCCUUUAUGUUUUUUUUCAGCUUUCUAAAACCACUUAGUAGUGGGACCCAGAUGGUCUCAAUAGGAAACAGUUGAGUGGAAAGAAU